rnacentral:lncRNA from 1 species
GGAUACGAGCUUGCUCUUGGUACAUUUUACAGGCAUCCCUAGUGUCGAGAUAGGCAUCCAACCGUGUGACUCAUGUUAUUUCAUCGGCCGUAAGGCUGAAAAGAGAAACAGCCGAAAAAACUUCGAAAUGGUAUCGUAAAUACUGAAGGUCCUCCAUUGAAAAAGGAAGGUCGGCUGCAUCAAUAUCAGUGUAUGGGUCGACUUCAAAACCAAGGACUCGAGCUUCGCGUAUGUGCUGGAACCUAGCUUUCAAUCCUGGAUCUGAGGUCUUCUGAAUAAUUCGCUCGGCAUCCGGGCAAGUUAGGACGAGAUCGAUUGUAUCUUGACAUGCUUUCGGCAAACCAUAUAGAUCGUGGCCGAAUAUUUUUUAUGAAACUUUCGCAUAUAUUCCAAGGCCUCCCCGAGAAAUGGUGGAUGUAAAUUCCGUCAAAUUUUAAUCAAAGGUGCUUGUGUGGUUGACGGGGGCAGUUUGCUUUCAGCUUCCUGCCUGAAAUGCUCGAAGCGUGCCUUCAUCUCCCCGGGCUGCAGAAGAAGUUUGAUUCAUUUAUCAGCCUCCUCAAACGUGGUUUCGACAUCUCGAUUGACCAGCCGUUUCCCUUGAACCAGCUCUGUCAUAAUCGUUGG